rnacentral:rRNA from 1 species
UACGGGGGGGGCAAGCGUUGUUCGGAAUUACUGGGCGUAAAGGCUCGUAGGCGGCCAACUAAGUCGGAUGUGAAAUCCCCAGGCUUAACCUGGGAACUGCAUCCGAUACUGGAUGGCUUGAAUCCGGGAGAGGGAUGCGGAAUUCCAGGUGUAGCGGUGAAAUGCGUAGAUAUCUGGAGGAACACCGGUGGCGAAGGCGGCAUCCUGGACCGGCAUUGACGCUGAGGAGCGAAAGCCAGGGGAGCAAACGGG